rnacentral:lncRNA from 1 species
AAAUGUCAAUUGACUCCUCUCACUCAUAGUUGUACAAAUUACAGGGCUUUUUUUUAAUUGUCAUAAAACAUAUACAUUAUUCAUCUAUUCAGUUUCAUCUGAAGAGAAUCCAACAAAGAAGAAAUUUUAUUUUCCAAUAAAAUAUUAAAGCUGCUUUACCCCACAAGAGACAGAGCAGAAAUUCCAUCCAUGAUCUAUAGCUGCUGGUCCUCACACUUGGAUCUCCUAACUCAGAUGACACCUGACCCAGCCUGGGAGUGACCUCUGCGUUGCAGCUCAUAUGCACAUCGACCAUGUGCCUGCCUCACUGCUAUAAGUAAGAUCAGUCCCUAGUAAGGCCUGGCGAAGCUCCCCGUCAGAAACAAAAAGUCCUCCUUUUAUUUUCCACCCCAAGUCACUGUCUGGGAACCUCUACAGAACUGAAGGGGUGUGGCCCUUUUGAAGGACUUCCAUGAACAAAAAGGUUCCCAGAUAAGAACAAUAGACUUAUUGAUGACCAAAUCUGAACCUGCUUACCAUGCUCUGUGGUUUCUCCCUGUAAACGUUUUUCCCAUAAUCCAGUGGCUGCUUUGGAAGAGUUGUCCAGAACACUUUCAUCAGGGCUAUUUUUUCACCCUAUGAUUCUGGCCAUCAUCCAGUUUAUUUUUUGAAAAAGAGCAGCCAGGAGUAAAUCACAUCCCAGAGGAAAAAAAAAAUCCUACAAGGUUCAAAACAUUUUAUAUUCAUGGGAAUAAUUAGGAAAAUUCUAGAAUUAUACCUGUUAGCCAAUUAAGGAGUGACCAACUUCAAAUCACAAAUACAGGUUCCUGAAAACAACAUGUAAUUUUAUGUAACUGACUUACCAGCCUGGGGAUAGAAACAAGGCCAUGAUGCAUUUGAAGGGCCUGCCCAGGGCUUGGUUGGUAACUAGAAUCCAGCAGAGCUGCUGGGCUUGGAAGGAAAGGAUUGCACAGAGAUUAACUCCACCGAAACAUGCCUGUUUUUGCAUAAUAUUUAUGUUUCCGCCCUCAUAAUGGCUUCAUUUCAUUUAUUCUCCAAACCAAAUGGCAGAGACAGCUACUCUUUGUGGUACACAUGGUUACAUUGCUCCUUUUGCCAAUUCCAUGAGAAGAUCAUUGUCACUUUUUCUCUGGCUAUUGAAAACAAAAUAAACAUAGGUCUGAAUCUUUGACUCAUUUUUCACUUAGAAUGGAAGAUAUUGGUAGCCAUAUAUAUCAUUUCACUUAAUUCAGAUCCGCAAAUAUUGAGAAACUUCUAUGGGUAAGCCAUCAUGUUAAGUGCUUCAGGGACCUAAAUCUGAGCAAGACGCAACCCCAGUUCACAAAAUGCUAAAUGAAGUGGCCGAUUGCUGGGAAAUACUGCAGGGAACUAGGGAUCAGAAACAGAUUGUGGGGAACCAGAGGGGAUGGCAAGUCUUCAAAUUACUCUUAAGAAUCAAAGGUCUAACAGAAGUAAACCUCAUGAUCAAAUACAACACAGAUAUAAGGUUAGGGACCACAUGAAAUUUUCUUGCUCUAUAGUACUUAAAAUAAUUUUUUUUUAAAGUAAGAAAGAGAGGCACUUUGAAGUUCCCAAAAUGGAAUGGCUCUUAAGUCAAAGGUUGAGCAGACUUUUAAUAAACUGGUAAUAUAGCUAUAGAUACAGAUAUAAAUUCACAAUUUUAAAUGACACUUUUGCCUACAUCAUCCACUUUUGCAUACAAAAAGGUGAGGUCCCUCCAUGUCAGAAGCACCCCACGAGCAAACACAAGGACUGGGAAUUAUCAGACAGUCAUAUGAACUAGUACAUAAUUUUCCAUGCACACAACAAAACUUUAGUGAGUAACUACUGUGUUCUAAGUGUGAAGUAUAGGUGAUACAAGGAUUUUGAGGCACAGAUGUCUGCCUUCAAGUGUAACACAGUCUGUAGGAAAGGCUGCCAUAUGUGGCUCAUAUAUGUCAGAUGGUAUUAGGAGAUAAAGGUGGGAGGCUAUGCCAGCAUCAUGUUAAGAGGGUCCUUAAAAACAGGCUAAGGGUUAGUAUUUAAUUCAGUGACAAUAGAGGAUCAUUAAAGUUGUUAGGCUAAGGAGUAAUAUCAUCUGGAUUGAGUAUACAGUUCAUUUAAAGUAAAAAUAUAGAAUUCGGCAGGGCUUGGUGGCUCACGCCUAUAAUCCCAGCACUUUGGGAGUCCAAGGCAGGCGGAUCAUGAGGUCAGGAGUUCAAGACCAGCCUGGCCAAUAUGGUGAAACCCUGUCUCUACUAAAAAUACAAAAAUUAGCCAGGCAUAGUGGUGCAUGCCUGUAGUCCCAGCUACUUGGGAGACUGAGGCACGAGAAUCGCUUGAACCUGGGAGGCGGAGGUUGCAGUGAGCUGAGAUCAUGCCACUGCACUCCAGCCUGGGUGACAGAGCAAGACUCCAUCUCAAAAAAAAAAAAGAAAUAUAUGUGUGUGUGUGUGUGUGUGUGUGUGUGUGUGUGUGUGUGUGUGUGUGUAGAGAGAGAGAGAGAGACAAUUCAUUCAGAGCAAAAUCGAAUAAGGAAAAAGACUGGUUUCGAGACAACUGCAAAGCACCCAGGCAAGAGGUAAGAGGAAAUAUGGUAAGAAGUAAAAGGAAGUAUGGUAGCACUCAAGAGAAUUAAUGAAAAAAGAGGAACUCAACUGAAAUUGACAGUGUAGAACACUGACUUGUUUCAGAGGAAAAGAAAAUAUUUGGUAUGGGCCAUGCUGAGUUUGAGAUGCCAUUGGUGUCUAGCCAUCAGUUGGAUAUUCGGGUCUGAGGUACUCGGGUCCUGGCAAGAAAGAUACAUAUGAGUACUAUCCUCAUGGGAGUGAUGGUUAAGGCCACAGGAUUGAACAAGAUAGCUGAGGUAGCAAGUGUAGGUCUAGAAGCAGGAAGAAGAAAACAUUCCGGAGGACACGUACAUGUAUAGAGAAGUAGAAAGAGAAGUAUGUAAAGAGAAAGGAGAACUGAGAAAAGAAUGCCAGGGAAGCAGAGAGGGGGAUGCUUAAAUGAGAGAAGCAACAAUCAAAUGCUAAGAAGAAGCCAGAGACGCAUAGCCUGAGAUGAGCACUUGGAUCCAGUGCAUAGGUCAACAGUUGCCUCUGAAAAAGACACUUUAGUGGGGCUGAGAAUAGAAAAGUCAGCAUUCAAGAUAGUGAAAAAUGAGUAGGUACACAGCACAGAAAUGGACUUUAGGGAGUUUGAUAGAGGAUUAUAGAAUGAAGAUGGAAAUGACAAGGGAAGAAUUGAUGGGGAAAGGUCAAGGGAAUCAGGCUGGCAGUUAGAGGGGUUAACCUGACAAAGAAAAAGGACACAUACUCCUCAGAAGCAAAUUAGAAAGAAGAAAGCAUAGGAAGGGGCAGUGAAAAUACAAAGAUUCUCUCCCUAGACCCUGUCACCCAUGCCUAUGGGCACAAUUACCGCCUCUCCUGGAAUUACCCACAAAUGUCUGUCUGUCUGCUGCCCUAACCUCUUCCUGAGCUCCUAAGCUAUAUAUAAAACUACCUACUAGAAAACACGUGGAUACCUUCAAGGCUCCUCAACUUCAACCUGCCCAAAUCAAAUUCAUGACCUUUUCUUCCAAACAGUGUCAUCCUGUACUGUUCCCUGCCCGAUAAAUGAUAUCAUUAUCCAUCAAAACUGCCAAAGUUCAAAAGUCAGGACUUGCUUCUACACCUCUAUUGCUCUCAACUUCACCCCCAACCAAAGGGCUUUUAAUUUGUCUCCUCAAAUCUGCUUUUGCCCCCUUCUAAGCUCUGCACUGCAGCUAGAGUGACCUUUUCAAAACUCAACUCUGAUCAUGGUCACUCCUGCUUAGAUCCCUGCAGUGACUUCCUCUUGGGCAGGGCCACAGUCUGACUUGACUGUUCAGGCAAUAUGUGGCCUGGCUCUGCCCACCUCCCUGCCUCACCCCACAUUCUCCCCCACCCACAUGCCCUGGCUAGUGUGUCUUCUCUGUGCUUCCUCACAUAAUUCCAGUUCUCUUCCACCUCUGGGCUCUGCACAUGCUGUUCCACCUGCCUGGUACUUCCUUCCCACCAUCCUUUCCACCUGGUUAACUUCUACUUCAGGGAGAAUAGAAGACAGCAUUAUAUCAUGGUGAUUAGGACCCCAGGCUUUGGAAUCAAACUGAGUUCCAAAACCCACUCCUCUACUCACCCACUGGGGGGUCCUAAACAAGUUAUAUACUGUAUCUAAGCCUAAGUUUCUCACCUGUAUGUUAACAUGAGUCCAUACUUCACAGAGAUUAUUCAUAGAAAGCACUAAAAUCUGAGACUGGCACAUAAUGCCCACUUCGUAAAUGUCUGCAAUUUUUUGUUAAUCUUUUUUCCAGCCAUGGGUCAAUCAUCACUUCAUGAAGAAGCCUCUGCCCAGGUCACCACCCCUUCCUCUGCACCCGCAGUCUCCUUUUUUGCACCCAACACAGAUUUACUUCUGCACUUACGUAUGAGAUUUUUAGAAUACACCUGUCUUCUCCACCAGAAGGCUCAUUGACAGCAGGAUUCGCCUGCUUUGCUCGUGCAGAGAGCCCAGCCUCUAGCACAAUACCUGACACAGAGUAGACACUCUACCAGUACUUCCUCAAUGAAGGAAUGAAUGAAUGAGCAAACCACAGUAGCCCAGCUGUGGUUAGAGUGGAAGUAAGCAUAUCCAGCUUGUCCUGUAAGCAACAGCCCAGUAUUUGGUCAUUUGGCCAUUGCGUCCUUGCAUUAGUGGGGGCCUGAUGAGCAGUUUGUCAUCUCAUCUAUGAAUGCCAGUAAAUCAUUAUCAGCAAUAUUUAUUUUUUAAAAACUAGGCGAGCCUGAGGUAAAAUUCAUAUUUUUGCAGGCCUCGUUGGCCAAGGACAUUCGGUCUUCCCUGGCUGAGGCUGAUGAAGAUGAUGACAGCAGAGAUGAUAAUGUUGUAAUUAACAAAGCUUAUGAAUAUUAGCACAUUAAACUCUAGAACACUUUGGUCUAAUAAAUGGGACAUACAGAACAGAAGCUCCUGAAGGUCAUCUCAUAUGCCAAGUGAGAAAUAGGGAGAGAGCCCUGUCACUUGCUCUCUUUGGCGCAUCUUAAUUUCUGUGUUGUAGAUACAUACACACACGCCUCACCAGGUCCCUGUGCCUGGAUGUGACCUUCCAUGGUCUUCUGACUAUUAACUGUGACAUAUGAAGUUCAUGAGUCAGACCCCAUAGUCUGCAUCCCUGCUUAUCACUACGUGACCUUCCCUCCCCUCAGGUCUCUUCCAAAGAAGACCACUGAGUUGGCUCACACUUUAUUUUAGGGAAUGUUUUCUGACUACUUCUCUUGGUGUCUGUUAAUGGGCAAAUAUCAAAUCCAUGGGAAAUUCCUACACAGUUCUCAACAAAUAUGAGGAAAAGCAAACGAAAGAUCCCUAUAACUCUUUAUACAUCGCCUUUACAGCAUGUAAACCCUUUGAUUAACAUCUCCUGGCCGUGUGCAGUGGCUCACACCUGUAAUCACAGCACUUUGAAAGGCUGAGGUGGGAGGAUCACUUGAGCCCAGGAGUUUGAGACCAGCUUGAGCAACAUAGUGAGACCAAUAUCAAUCGAGAAAAAUGACGAGACAAGUCUCAAUCAUUUUAGGAGGUUUAUUUGCCACAGUUAAGGAUGUAUGCCCGGGAGACAGGUCUAUGCCUUUCUCUGAAGAUGAUUCUGAGGGCUCCAAAUUUAAAGGGGAAAGGGCAGGAUAUUCAGAAGUACACAAUUUUCAUGUAAGAGCGGGGGUAGGGAAAAAUAGUCGUUCAUGCCUUUGUCCGGCUCAGUGACUCUGCAUUUUUUUAUAUAAGGUGAUAUAGACAAAUGGGGCAGAGGAAAAAUGCAGGGUAUCUGUAUUUUACAUAAGAUAACAUAGACAAAAUGGGGCAGGAGAACAAUCAGAUAUGCCUUUGUGUCUGGUGGGCAGGGAGAUGACUGCACCUGUAAGGAUAAGCUAUAAAUUUACAUUGCAAUGGCGAAAUUGUGAAAUUUUAACAGAAACACCUUAAAAGAUCUUGAAGCUCACUAGGAAUUUCCUUGUGGGCAAAAUAUGGCAGAGAUGUAUAGCUUUUCAUCUUGUAGCCAUCUUAUUUAGGAAGCAAAAAGGUGGAAGCAGGUUGCAUCAUCCAGUUCUCGGCCCAGCUUUUCCCUUUGGCUUAAUGAGUUUAGGGUCCCAAGAUUUCAUUUCCUUUCACACCCCCAUCUCUACAAAAAAAAAUAAAAAUAAAAAUUAGCCAGGCCUGUACUAAUAGCUAAGAGUACUAGCACGCACUUGCAGUCCUAGCUAUUCAGGAGGCUGAGGUGGGAGGGUCCCUGGAGCCCAGGAGUUCAAAGCUGCAGUGAGCCAUGAUCACACCACUGCACUCCACCCUGGGUGAAAGAGCAUGACCCUGUCUCUUAAAAAAAAAGAAAAAACCCUCCCUUUGCCUCUAAUGACAAAACGGUCUUUCCCUUGGUGGAAUAGCUUGGGAGCUUUGGGAAGACUGAAUGCACAGUAGGUUCUGCAUUGUCAUUAGAAUCUAUGCUAAAGUUAUCAAUGGCCUUUAUUUUAUUGAGUACCUAGUAAAUGUAGCAAACCAAAGGCCCGAGAUGCAUUUACUUUACUUGCCAUUAAAUUAGGCAGUAGCUUCAAUGACAUAAGGGUAAAAUCUAAUGAGCUUUGUACUCUUGUUAGAACAGGUAAGGAGAAUUGAGGUCUCAGCAUUCACAGAUGAUGUUAUGGCCCUUUGUGUCCUAGGACUGUUUAUCUUAGGAGCUCUGUUUGACCCCUGGCAGACUGUUGUCUUUAGCUGAAACAGUAAAGUGUGAUUCACCACAAUAUGGUAAUGUUGAGAAAUCCAAGGAAAACCUUUCAUUUCCAGAACUUAGUGACCCUUUUUGAAGAAAUCUAUUAUUGUCUAGCAAUUUUAUUACAAAAGCACAUUAGGGUUUAAAAAUGUGAAGUGGGUGUGGAAAAAAAAGGCUUAUGUAACAUUAGACGCAAAAAAAAGAUUAUAAAGUCUUGUCUAUGCUAAGAUUGUAACUAUGUGAAAAUUAGAUAACAUAUUGACAGUAACUGGAAGGAAACAUUAAAACAGCUGAUUUUAGAAUGGCAAGAUAAGAGACUUUUUUCUCUUUUCUUUUUUUCUUGGUUGAUUUCUGUUAUUGUUGUUAUAGUAUUAUUUGUACAAUACAAGAUUGUCAGCUAAACAUGUAUAUUUUGCUUAAAAUUAUAAUUCACUUAUACUACAGACAUUAAAAAAUUA